CGAGUUCAAGGGUAUAUCGAGUGAUCGAGUGUCCAGCGCGGGACACUUCCAAUGGACGACGCCAAUAUUUGCGAUGAUCGUCGUUCCUGUGAUCAACCUGUGAGCCCUCUCUCUCACACACACACUCUCUCCAGCUUCUGUCUCUUCUGGUACUUUCACACCGUUCUGAUCUCACAACGAGUAUACCCCGAGCUGGAUCUUAUCGGGACGUUUGCAGAACACCAGCAGCAGCAGCAGCAGCAGCCGGAGCAGCCGGAGCACACCAACACAUAGCAAGCGUGUGGCGUUUUGCAGCAGCAGCAGCAGCCUGUUUACCUGUGGAAACGGACCGCGAUCGAUACACGCAGCUACAGUACCGCGUUCAGAGCACCAGACCAGAGUGAGCGAUAAGCGCCCAACACCAGCGGCCAGUGACAGUGACAGCGAUGGCGACCCUUCCUGGAGCUUCACAGAGCGUUUACUUUGGCGCAGAGUCGCCACUGCCGCCUGCACGCUAAUCCAAGAUUGCUACAGAAGGCCACACUCAGAGAGAGAGAGUGAGAGAGAGGGAGAGACAGCGAAAGUGAAAGCAUUGGGGAACGGCGCGAAUUGGAUGACGUAUCAUCCUGCACGGCGUCAUCUGCAUACCGCUUCCGGCCUUCCGUUUGCGACGAUGACGCGAGUUCGAUGAGCACACAGCGCACAAGGUUCCGGUGGCGUCUGGCCGUGCCGCGACGCGACGACGCGCAUUCGCCACGGACCACACUUCGCGAUUUACGAUCCUUGACGAG